rnacentral:rRNA from 1 species
AGGACGAACGCUGGCGGCGUGCUUAACACAUGCAAGUCGAACGGAAAGGCCCUUUCGGGGGUACUCGAGUGGCGAACGGGUGAGUAACACGUGGGUGAUCUGCCCUGCACUUCGGGAUAAGCUUGGGAAACUGGGUCUAAUACCGGAUAGGACUACGAAUCGCAUGGUUUGUGGUGGAAAGCUUUUGCGGUGUGGGAUGGGCCCGCGGCCUAUCAGCUUGUUGGUGGGGUGAUGGCCUACCAAGGCGACGACGGGUAGCCGGCCUGAGAGGGUGUCCGGCCACACUGGGACUGAGAUACGGCCCAGACUCCUACGGGAGGCAGCAGUGGGGAAUAUUGGACAAUGGGCGCAAGCCUGAUCCAGCAAUGCCGCGUGAGUGAUGAAGGCCUUAGGGUUGUAAAGCUCUUUCGCCCGCGACGAUGAUGACGGUAGCGGGAGAAGAAGCCCCGGCUAACUUCGUGCCAGCAGCCGC